GUGAGUUGCUGGCAACCAUUCAAGUCAUGGGAUUAAAGCUCUGGAUCAUUUGUCUGGUGAUCUUCCCUGCAUGUGUUUUCCCCCAGAUUACCAUUACUGAGUCUGGUGGUGGUAUGAAGAGGCCAGGAGAAACUCUACGGCUGACUUGCACAGUGUCUGGAUUUUCUGUAGCUGGCAACUACAUGGACUGGGUCCAUUGGGCCCCAGGAAAAGGACUGAAGUGGACUGGACGCAUCGCAGUUGGUGGAAACACUUUCAAUAGCAGUGAUCUCCAAAAUCGGAUCAUCAUCACAAGAGACACCUCAAAAAACCUGGUGUUCCUGCAGCUGAGUGGCCUGAAGCCCGAAGAUACCGCUGUGUAUUACUGUGCGAGAAACACACUGAGGGAAAUCCUCUGUCACUGCCUAUACAAAAACUACGCCUCUUGAAAAGUAGCCACACAUGAUUUUUUGUGCAUCGCAGCUGGAA